UGAACUGAAUACAUUUUGAAACCUACAACUUAUAAGUAAAAGUUUGUUGCAUCAUUCUUGCAGAAAAAGGGUUUUCAAUGCAAUAGAUUUUGUAUUUGAAUUAAUAAAUAAUUAUUAUGAAUACAUUGCUUGAGGAAACCAGAACAGAGUGAAAUCCACCAUUUAUAAGCUGGUGGCAGAGAUUACAAUAGCUUCUCUUACCAACACCUUUUGUAUCCUUGUGAGUAUACUGGGAAGCAGAAACCCAUGCAAGACAAUGGGAUGUUGGCAAGCUCCCAGGUUUAGUCAGAAGACAAAUGUCUAUACUAACAGCUAUUUCUUUAAUACACUUAGACUCCUGCUGAAACUUCAUUUGCUGUCGACCUAUCCUUCUUUGGCAGUUCUUGAGCUUUUUGAGCAACGGCUUUAUUAGGAACCAAUAUUAUGAAGAUGUUCCUAUCGCGGAAACUCUUGUUCUCCUCAACGGCAAGCUGUGAACGUGUCAAAAAAGAAAUGCAGAUCGAAAAUAAGAGAUGGCACAGACACGACAGUAACAAAGAACGUCCAACAAAAAGAAGCAUUCGGAUGUGCGCAGAAGCAGCGAAAAUUAAGGAAUAACAUAAUAUUCUUAGUUUAUUGCCGGAAUCCUCAUUGCCACUUUCUAGGUAUAGAUGAAAUGAAAGAAACAUUCUGAAUUCAAGCUCCAAACAGGCCUUUAUCAAAGGAGAUGAAAUUAAACUCAUUAAAGACAACAUAAAAUUAUAGCAUACACAAAUCAACGAAAAGUUGGCUUUUGCUUUACAUGUAAACCAAACCCAACAAUAGUGCAAAAUAAUAAUAAUAAUAAUAAAUAAUAAAAAUAAAAAUAAAAAAUCUUACAGUCCACCAUCAAAAAAUUUGUGAAUCGUCUAACAAGUGGGAGUCAGGUUGAAGUGAAGAGAGAGCAAAAUGUUGGUUCUGAAGCUGGUUUCGAUCCUAAACAUGAUUAGUGAUGAGGUAAUUUUAUGUAGCAGUCAGCGGAGACUGAAGCUUACCUAUAUCUGAAAGACAAAAUGGUUGGAAGCUUGGUUUUAUUUGUGAGACGCAUAAACUCAAAUAGAGAGACUCGGAGAGCAAAUAUGUCAACUUAAUAUUUAUUGUGCGGGUGUAGAUUAAUAAAGUAUGAAUGUAACCGCUCCACUCCCAGUGAAGCACAGAUACGCCAGCAAGGUAAAGAGUUAGUGUUCAACACAUCAGAUAGUAAAACAUAUUGAACACGACCGACAUGUCCCUUACAUGACCGUGCCCUCCUCUGAAAAACCACAUGCUGCUAUGUUUGCAACCCCUGACUGUGUUUUGUAGACAUUGCUAGGCUAACGAGGUAAGAAAGUAAAGUUCUAAUAAGACAUACUAAUGAUUUAUGGGGAGAUUAGUUCUUAUUAUGGUUUAACACAAGGAAUGGACUUUUUUGCAAAAUCCAAAGGAGAUGCAGAUACCAACAUUACCGACAACUAUCAGUUACUAAUUGUGAUUAAAUAAUGUCUUCUGAAGUCUGCUAGUUAGUACCACAGCGAAAUGGUCCAAACGGAGCACCUCUAGAGGGGAAGUCUUGAACCAAUGAGAAUAGAAAUCAUCAAAGAAAUUGUGCUUGUCUAACGCAUCAUUCGGGAAACAAAGAAAAGUUAUCAACAGAAAGACAAAGAAAAGGGAAAAAAUUCCCAGAUGUAAAACUCUUUUAGACCCAGUACUACAGUUUGCACUUGUAGUUUUAAUUCUACUCAGAAACAAGCACCAGGACUAUGGAAGGUCACAAAGUAACAAAAAGUAUAACCCAGAAAAUAAGCAAUUCACUUGUGACAUUCAUUUGAUAAGGUGAAGAUAUAUAGUACA